rnacentral:rRNA from 1 species
CCCAUAAGACUGGGAUAACUCCGGGAAACCGGGGCUAAUACCGGAUAACAUUUUGAACCGCAUGGUUCGAAAUUGAAAGGCGGCUUCGGCUGUCACUUAUGGAUGGACCCGCGUCGCAUUAGCUAGUUGGUGAGGUAACGGCUCACCAAGGCAACGAUGCGUAGCCGACCUGAGAGGGUGAUCGGCCACACUGGGACUGAGACACGGCCCAGACUCCUACGGGAGGCAGCAGUAGGGAAUCUUCCGCAAUGGACGAAAGUCUGACGGAGCAACGCCGCGUGAGUGAUGAAGGCUUUCGGGUCGUAAAACUCUGUUGUUAGGGAAGAACAAGUGCUAGUUGAAUAAGCUGGCACCUUGACGGUACCUAACCAGAAAGCCACGGCUAACUACGUGCCAGCAGCCGCGGUAAUACGUAGGUGGCAAGCGUUAUCCGGAAUUAUUGGGCGUAAAGCGCGCGCAGGUGGUUUCUUAAGUCUGAUGUGAAAGCCCACGGCUCAACCGUGGAGGGUCAUUGGAAACUGG